rnacentral:rRNA from 1 species
UAACUUGAGAGUUUGAUCAUGGCUCAGAACGUACGCUGGCGGCACGCCUAACACAUGCAAGUCGAACGAAGUAGCAAUACUUAGUGGCAGACGGGUGAGUAACAUGUAGGUAUCUACCCUUUGGCCUGGAAUAACACGAGGAAACUUGUGCUAAUACCGGAUAAGUCUUUACGGAGAAAGCUUUAUGCACCAUUGGAUGAGCCUGCACUAGAUUAGUUUGUUGGUGGGGUAAUGGCCUACCAAGACUGUGAUCUAUAGCUGAUUUGAGAGGAUGAUCAGCCACAUUGGGACUGAGACACGGCCCAAACUCCUACGGGAGGCAGCAGUGGGGAAUCUUGCACAAUGGAGGAAACUCUGAUGCAGCGAUGCCGCGUGAGUGAAGAAGGCCCUUGGGUUGUAAAGCUCUUUCGUCGGGGAAGAAAAUGACUGUACCCGAAUAAGAAGGUCCGGCUAACUUCGUGCCAGCAGCCGCGGUAAUACGAAGGGACCUAGCGUAGUUCGGAAUUACUGGGCUUAAAGAGUUCGUAGGUGGUUGAAAAAGUUGGUGGUGAAAUCCCAGAGCUUAACUCUGGAACUGCCAUCAAAACUUUUCAGCUAGAGUAUGAUAGAGGAAAGCAGAAUUUCUAGUGUAGAGGUGAAAUUCGUAGAUAUUAGAAAGAAUACCAAUUGCGAAGGCAGCUUUCUGGAUCAUUACUGACACUGAGGAACGAAAGCAUGGGUAGCGAAGAGGAUUAGAUACCCUCGUAGUCCAUGCCGUAAACGAUGUGUGUUAGACGUUGGAAAUUUAUUUUCAGUGUCGCAGCGAAAGCGAUAAACACACCGCCUGGGGAGUACGACCGCAAGGUUAAAACUCAAAUGAAUUGACGGGGACCCGCACAAGUAGUGGAGCAUGUGGUUUAAUUCGAAGAUACGCGCAGAACCUUACCAACACUUGACAUGUUCGUCGCGACUCUAAGAGAUUAGAGUUUUCGGUUCGGCCGGACGAAACACAGGUGCUGCAUGGCUGUCGUCAGCUCGUGUCGUGAGAUGUUGGGUUAAGUCCCGCAACGAGCGCAACCCUCACUUUUAGUUGCCAUCAUUAAGUUGGGCACUCUGAAAGAACUGCCAGUGAUAAGCUGGAGGAAGGUGGGGAUGACGUCAAGUCCUCAUGGCCCUUACGUGUUGGGCUACACACGUGCUACAAUGGUAUCUACAACAGGAAGCAAGACUGCGAGGUCAAGCAAAUCCUUAAAAGAUACCUCAGUUCGGAUUGCACUCUGCAACUCGAGUGCAUGAAGCUGGAAUUACUAGUAAUCGUGGAUCAGCGUGCCACGGUGAAUGCGUUCCCGGGUCUUGUACACACCGCCCGUCACACCAUGGGAGUUGGUUCUACCUUAAGGCAAGGUUUUAAACCCUUGACCACGGUAUAGUCAGCGACUGGGGUGAAGUCGUAACAAGGUAGCCGUAGGGGAACCUGCGGCUGGAUUACCUCCUUU